GACGAACGCUGGCGGCGUGCUUAACACAUGCAAGUCGAACGAUGAAGCCGGAGCUUGCUCUGGUGAAUUAGUGGCGAACGGGUGAGUAACACGUGAGUAACCUGCCCUUGACUCUGGGAUAACUGCUAGAAAUGGUAGCUAAUACCGGAUACGACCCUCGGAGGCAUCUCCAGGGGGUGGAAAGAAUUUCGGUCAAGGAUGGACUCGCGGCCUAUCAGCUAGUUGGUGAGGGAAUGGCUCACCAAGGCGACGACGGGUAGCCGGCCUGAGAGGGUGACCGGCCACACUGGGACUGAGACACGGCCCAGACUCCUACGGGAGGCAGCAGUGGGGAAUAUUGCACAAUGGGCGCAAGCCUGAUGCAGCAACGCCGCGUGAGGGAUGACGGCCUUCGGGUUGUAAACCUCUUUUAGUAGGGAAGAGGCGAAAGUGACGGUACCUGCAGAAAAAGCACCGGCUAACUACGUGCCAGCAGCCGCCGUAA
rnacentral:rRNA from 1 species